GAUGAAGAACGCAGUGAAAUGCGAUAAGUAAUGUGAAUUGCAGAAUUCAGUGAAUCAUCGAAUCUUUGAACGCACAUUGCGCCCGCUAGUAUUCUGGCGGGCAUGCCUGUUCGAGCGUCAUUUCAACCAUCAAGCCCCAGGCUUGUGUUGGGGGCCUGCGGCUGCCGCAGCCCCUGAAAAGCAGUGGCGGGCUCGCUGUCAUUCCGAGCGCAGUAGUUACAUCUCGCUCCGGGCGUGGCGGUGGGCACCUGCCGUGAAACACUCCUUCUAAGGUUGACCUCGGAUCAGGUAGGAAUACCCGCUGAACUUAAGCAUAUCAAUAAGCGGAGGA
rnacentral:misc_RNA from 1 species